rnacentral:tRNA from 1 species
GUGUCCGUGGUGUAAAGGCAGCACUCCUGCUUGUGAGGCAGGCGGCAUCGGUUCGAGUCCGUUCGGGCACC